UGCCUUUUAAAUGAAGGCCUGUAUGAAUGGCAUAACGAGGGCUUAACUGUCUCUUUCUCCCUAUCAAUGAAAUUGAUCUCCCCGUGCAGAAGCGGGGAUACUAACAUAAGACGAGAAGACCCUGUGGAGCUUUAGACCAAAAGUGGACCAUGUUAAAGAUAUAAGAAAAAUUCAUCAAACAAAUUGGGCUCUACUCUAGUGUCUUUGGUUGGGGCGACCGCGGGGUAAUGAUUAACCCCCAUGAGGAUUGAGAAUAUGAUUUUUAAAUCUAAGAAUUUCCAUUCCAAGAAACAGAACAUCUGACCUUUAUGAUCCGGACCUUCCGAUCAACGAACCUAGUUACCCCAGGGAUAACAGCGCAAUCCUCUUUUAGAGCCCAUAUCGACAAGGGGGUUUACGACCUCGAUGUUGGAUCAGGACAUCCUAAUGGUGCAGCCGCUAUUAAGGGUUUGUUUGUUCAACAAUUAAAGU
rnacentral:rRNA from 1 species